AGCUUUUUGAAGUACCCUCAUUUAGAGGGAAAAUACCUCAACUGUAUUUUAAAUUAUAUUUACAACUACACUUAUAUGAACUGUAUUUACAACUAUGUGACUGUUACCCCUGCGGCAUCAGUUAGAAGCAAGAAAUAGGGUCCAUGUAGCCUUGGAGCCGGCUUUCUGAAGACAAGGACCCUAUGUUCAACUCUGACACAGGGCUGAGAAAAUGCUGAGGAUCACUGGGAGGAAACAGAAGGAAAUGUUUUCUUCUUAAAGGAAAUCGUGAUGUGUCUUCAUGGAAUCAGCUCCAAAGACCAAAGAACAGAAAGCCAAACCAUAAAGGAUAAGAUGUUUCAUUCUGGAAAGAAACAAGCUGAGAGCUUUGAAUACAUGAGGAAGAAGAGUGGGAGACAGGAGGAAAGGUAAGGUUGGAAGAGGGCAAGAGGAAAGGGGAGGAGACUGGGGAGGCUCCAGCAACCAUCAACACAAUAAAUUGUAUCCUGGACCACCUCA